UUUAGCAUUUGGCUUGUUAUCCACAAUCGCAUUACCUACAGCGUGCAGCAGGUGAGUUUUACCUAAACCUGUACCACCGUA
rnacentral:antisense_RNA from 1 species